rnacentral:rRNA from 1 species
UACGAAGGGGGCUAGCGUUUUUCGGAAUCACUUGGCGUAAAGGGCGCGUAGGCGGCUUGAUCAGUCGGGGGUGAAAGCCUGUGGCUCAACCACAGAAUUGCCUUCGAUACUGUCUGGCUUGAGACCGGAAGAGGUAAGUGGAACUGCGAGUGUAGAGGUGAAAUUCGUAGAUAUUCGCAAGAACACCAGUGGCGAAGGCGGCUUACUGGUCCGGUUCUGACGCUGAGGCGCGAAAGCGUGGGGAGCAAACAGG